rnacentral:rRNA from 1 species
GCUUGUCUCAAAGAUUAAGCCAUGCAUGUCUAAGUAUAAGCACUUAUACCGUGAAACUGCGAAUGGCUCAUUAUAUCAGUUAUAGUUUAUUUGAUGGUUCUUGCUACUUGGAUAACCGUAGUAAUUCUAGAGCUAAUACAUGCGUCAAACCUCGACUUCUGGGAGAGGUGUAUUUAUUAGAUGGAAACCAAUGCGGGGCAACCCGGUAUAUGGUGAUUCAUAAUAACUUUCGGAUCGACCUUUCGGUCGAUGCAUCAUUCAAGUUUCUGCCCUAUCAGUUGUGGAUGGUAGGGUAUUGGCCUACCAUGACUUUAACGGGUAACGGAGAAUUAGGGUUCGAUUCCGGAGAGGGAGCCUGAGAAAUGGCUACCACAUCCAAGGAAGGCAGCAGG